CCAGGAAUACUUGGGCAGAUAUCCCAAGUUCAACGUGAAGGCUGAGGUGGGACUUCGCUCUUUGCUGACACACUCACCCAAGCGAGGACAGUGCUUGGCUUGCAUUGGACCACCCUGACCACACGGACCGUGGUCACAUCCAUCUGAUCACAAUCAAAGCUUGGAUCUGUGGGCAGGACAUAGAUGUUCAUAAAAGACAGAACCAGGAAGAAUUUGGCUGAAAUGGAUGUGCUUUAUUCAAAACACGUUGUGUCUUUUGAAGAUUCUCACUGAAGUCUAGAAAGUCAUGAAGUUGCUGCUGAGGAUGGGUGUGUGUGAUGCCUGUCUCUGAAGAAAAGGAAAUAGGGCUAACCAGAUCUGCACUUUCCCGAGUAAAGCACACACAUCUCACAUCAAGUCAUUAAAGCACCAGGCCUCUGCCUCUUAGACUUCCUGCACCCAGAGGGCAAAUCACAGCCAAGCUCAGAUGCUGUGCUGACGAAGACAUUAACAGUGUGUGUCUGAAAACUGUGUUUCUCAUAUCCCACCCUAGAGAGUUUCAUCCUUGCAAAAUGAGAAGCCGCUUCUUGGAUAGCGAGGGACAAGGAUAAAGAUGUAUGCCGUCGGCUUCUUGGGUCUGUUCUUAUCAUACAUCAGAGCUGCGGUGGUGACGGUCAGGGUCCUGCUGGGUCUGGGGGCUUCUGCAUCCCUGGAGCUGGAUCAGCCAUCAAAUCUUCCAAACGUAAAAGCCACGGCUGCUUUAUAAGGUCCCGUUCAUACUUGGGCAUGACCAUGGAAACACUGAAAUCAAGUUCCUGCGGCUGAGGUUCCUGCUGAAAGAACAAGGCGUGGCCGUGGCCUUGGUCCCUCAGGUACAGCGUCCCCUGAUGGCUUCCUGGCCUGAGACGGCAUCCUCCUCGGCGAGGUCCUGGGAGCUCCUGAACACGAGGAUGGAGUUGUAAACCUUCAGGGCUGGACCAGGCUCGAUCUUCAUCCACCUGGACAAUGUCCGUCUGUUGGCAGCAGGAAGACUCUGCCGUCAAUGUGCUGUCAGUAAAUAAAUGCACACAAAUAAACACAGCCUGCUCCUCCCAUCUGUUUGCCCCCCUCCAACCCCCACCACUGCCAGGAGCCCCUGGGUGCAGAGCUCGAGGGACCACGGAGCACAGCGGCAUCUUAGUCCAGCUACUCUCGACAGUAAGUUCUCCCCAGAACCCUGAAGCUAAGUUACAUUAAAAGGUGUUCAUUCUGUUAAAUGUGAACUCAGCGUACACAAAUUAGGCUAAAUUUCUACUGUUACAUUUUUAAAUUUUUGGACUGAAUUUGUAUCAAGGGCCUUAAAAAUAUACCAAGUGAAUCUCCAGGAAUACUUCACAUGAACAUGAUGAGUGGUGAGGACACGCUGGUGUCCUUCAUGCAGUGAAAUACGGCAAACAACCGGACAUACCAGGAACAGCAGAAGGAAAGAAAUUACGGUGUCACCGAGGAUGGGGACCGGCAGUCACCAAAAUUCACAUCUCAGUGUAAUAGGUAAUGACUUGGGAAACUUUUUGUGGGCUGUGAAGCAAGGGAACAUGAGCUGAUGACCUAGAAAGAUUUGUUUUCAUUUGUAAAAUUAAAUGUGUGUGAUCGCUGCAAACAUACACGGAGUUGAAAUAUUUGCAGUCUUUACAGCAAAUGUGAAGUGAUCUUUGGCCGGAUGUUUGCUUGGUGUUUUCUCCUUUAACCUUACUUAAAAUGCUUUUUGUGACAAACACCAUUAUAAGCAGAAGUACAUUCAAAA